rnacentral:ncRNA from 1 species
CCCCCCACAACGGCUUCCUGGCGUGGGGGGAUAUUUCACAAUGGAGCA